rnacentral:rRNA from 1 species
AGCAUGUGGUUAAUUCGAUGAUACGCGAGGAACCUUACCUGGGCUCAAAUGUAUGUUGACGUAUUCUGAAAGGGAUACUUCUUCGGACAAUAUACAAGGUGCUGCAUGGUUGUCGUCAGCUCGUGCCGUGAGGUGUCGGGUUAAGUCCCAUAACGAGCGCAACCCUAUCAUUAGUUGCCAUCAGGUCAAGCUGGGGACUCUAAUGAAACUGCCUACGCAAGUAGUGAGGAAGGUGGGGAUGACGUCAAAUCAGCACGGCCCUUACGUCCAGGGCUACACACGUGCUACAAUGGCCGGUACAAAGGGCAGCUACCUGGUGACAGGAUGCUAAUCUCAAAAGUCGGUCUCAGUUCGGAUCGGAGUCUGCAACCCGACUCCGUGAAGUUGGAUUCGCUAGUAAUCGCGCAUCAGCCAUGGCGCGGUGAAUACGUUCCCGGGCCUU